AGUUUGAUCAUUCUUGCUUGCAGGCCCAUGUUAACAGAGAAGAAAACUACCUAACCCUACAGCAGCACAGGAUCAAAAUGAGGGAGGAUCAGUAUGUACUAAGUGAAACCGCAAGAGAACAUAACCGUCUCAUGCGAAUUGGAGAGAAAACUGAUGAUCUAAGUGCCAGCGUGCCAUGAAGUAUGAAUUUAUAUUGCUGCAUGUGCAAAAUGAAAUUUAUAAGUU